rnacentral:misc_RNA from 1 species
AGCAGCCGCGGUAAUUCCAGCUCCAAUAGCGUAUAUUAAAGUUGUUGCAGUUAAAAGCUCGUAGUUGAAUUUCGGGGUUAGUAGGUUGGUCAUGCCUCUGGUAUGUACUGGUCUCACUGAUUCCUCCUUCCUGAUGAGCCGUAAUGCCAUUAAUUUGGUGUUGCGGGGAAUUUGGACUGUUACUUUGAAAAAUUAGAGUGUUUAAAGCAAGCUAACGCUUGAAUACAUUAGCAUGGAAUAAUGAAAUAGGACGUUCGAUCCUAUUUUGUGGUUUCUAGGAUUGACGUAAUGAUUAAUAGGGAUAGUUGGGGGCAUUAGUAUUCAAUUGUCAGAGGUGAAAUUCUUGGAUUUAUUGAAGACUAACUACUGCGAAAGCAUUUGCCAAGGAUGUUUUCAUUAAUCAAGAACGAAAGUUAGGGAUCGAAGACGAUCAGAUACCGUCGUAGUCUUAACCAUAAACUAUGCCGACUAGGGAUCGGAUGAUGUUAAUUUUUAAUGACUCAUUCGGCGCCUUAAC